GGACUAUCAUGUCGGUCGUGCCUCGGUGCGUACUGGUAUUGUUGGUUUCUCCCUUCUGACAAACCAUGAUGUCAUUUAUUUGGUGUUGUGGGGAAUCAGGACUGUUACUUUUUGAAAAAUUAGAGUGUUUAAAGCAGGCUCACGCUUGAAUACAUUAGCAUGGAAUAAUGAAAUAGGACGUUUGAUUCUAUUUUGUUGGUUUCUAGGAUCGACGUAAUGAUU
rnacentral:rRNA from 1 species